rnacentral:rRNA from 1 species
CCUACGGGUGGCAGCAGUGGGGAAUAUUGCACAAUGGGGGAAACCCUGAUGCAGCGACGCCGCGUGAGUGAAGAAGUAUUUAGGUACGUAAAGCUCUAUCAGUAGGGAAGAAAAUGACGGUAUCUGACUUAGAAGCCCCGUCGAACUACGUGCCAGCAGCCGCGGUACUACGGAGGGGGCAAGCGUUAUCCGGAUUUACUGGGUGUAAAGGGAGCGUAGGCGGGUGGGCAAGGCCGUAGUGAAAUCCUAUGGCUUAACCAUGGAAUUGCGUUGGAGACUGUGCAGCUGGAGUGCAGGAGAGGUAAGCGGAAUGCGUGGUGUAGCGGUGAAAUGCUUAGAUAUUAGGAGGAACACCAGUGGCGAAGGCGGCUUGCUGGACUGUAACUGACGUUGAGGCUCGAAAGCGUGGGGAGCAAACAGGAUUAGAUACCCCAGUAGUC